GACGUAGGGUGCAAGCGUUGUCCGGAUUUAUUGGGCGUAAAGAGCUCGUAGGCGGCUUGUUGCGUCGACUGUGAAAACCCGCGGCUUAACCGCGGGCUUGCAGUUGAUACGGGCAGGCUAGAGUUCGGUAGGGGAGACUGGAAUUCCUGGUGUAGCGGUGGAAUGCGCAGAUAUCAGGAGGAACACCGAUGGCGAAGGCAGGUCUCUGGGCAGUUACUGACGCUGAGGAGCGAAAGCAUGGGGAGCGAACAGG
rnacentral:rRNA from 1 species